ACAUGAUGGACUGGCUUGAAAUUGAUUAUCUGAUGGGCUGGAUUUAGGUAUAAAUGCCAGACCUUGAUCCAAUUUUCCAUUUUAUGCAGCCGGGCCCCCCAGUCCGGCUGGGACUAUGGACAACUGUGCAUUUCCUAAUAUCAAGUAAUGAACCUCUUUCCUACCUAAAAUGAGACUAUUUGCAUUUGGCUGAGGAACUGAAGACUAGAAGUAUGAAAUACAGCAUUUCAGCCCCAGGUUACCAGCUUGAAUCUUGCUGAGGAUGGUGAACGAAUUUCAUUGCUUUAGAGGCCUUUGUAAAAUAAAAUACGAGUUCUAUGGCAUUUACAGGCAAAUUUCAAGCAAGCCAAAAUGAUAGUGGUAACUAUCAAUUAAAAGGCUCUUAAAUUACCUCAUGUUUACUGCAGUCUAGGAGGAUAUUCACAGAUUCCAACCACAGAUUAGCUGUUGUGGUAAUUUCUCUGUGCUAUACAAUGAUCUGGGAAGGGGAGUCUGGAUUCCACUUCAGGAUCUAAAUGCGUGGCAGUGAUUCCUGUGGCAACUGAGGUCACCAGUUAGGAUGAAGACAAAGUCAACAGCCCAUACCGAGCAUGUGAGCCCUUGCCCUGUGCCAGCUGCUUGCAAGUCCCCAUAGAACUUCCAUGCAGUGAAAAGGGGAUUUUUGCAUGCCCCAAGAUUUUUACACAACCUUGGCAGAAAAUGACCUGACGGGAGCGAAAGAGAAAGUGAUAGAAGAUGAUACAUUAAUUAGACUAAGGAGACACAGUCCCUUAUUCUCUCUUUUGAAAUAUUGUUAGAGCCCACAGAAGUAUAAUCAAAUAUUCAAAAUUGUGUUUACACUGAAAAUGCCUGAGGCUUUUUCUAAAUACAGCAGCAGGAAUUUAUUGUCAUCUUGUUUUGCCAAAUCUCCUUAAACAGUCACAGACAGGUAACGUGGAUAUUGAGAACAUUUGUCAUAGUUAAAUCUGGUCCACAAAACAGGCUAAUUCUGUAGUCAGAGGCAGCAGUUUAUUUCCCAAAAUGAUGUUAGAACAUGGCAUACUUUGUUCUUAUUGAUAUACUGUUACUAUGAAUUAAAGAGGGAGUAUAUCAAGUUAACAGCUUAGUUUAUACCUGGAGAAAUAGGAUAGAGUGUUCUGGAAAUGCACCAUCAAACAGAUUCAAAAGCAGUACCUCUAGAAGAGGAGCAGCCCUCGUAACAAUAUCAAACAGCACCCAGAUAAGUAUUACUCUUCUGGUGAAAGUUUUGCUGAAGUGUUCCUUAUGAAAAUAGUAACAGAAUGGCUCCAUACUUUUUAUACACAACCAUCAGAACACUUUGUGGUCUUUAAGGCAACAGAACUUUGAUCUCUUGUUGAAAACCUAAGAGGUUGUGCUGGUGCUGUUACUUCAGGCAUGUGCAGUCUCUCCUGAAGACUGAGGCAAUUCUGCCUCCAAGUACUGCAGAACUGGACAGAGGUAGUGCCAUUCUCUGUCAAAGUGGAACACUGACUGCAUAGAAAGUACUGCUUUGCAGUGAAGUAUUUGGGGAUGAAAUGCAUCUUUGGGAGACUCCGUAAAAUAAAUUAAAUUGAACUGAGCAAAAGAAAUUGCUGUCAGCAAAACAGAGCAGCAAGAAAAUUAAAACCAUUUAUUCCAUUAAGAAACAAUAAUAAUUCUUCAAAUACAUAAGACUUCAGAUGGACAAAUGCCUCUUAGUUUUUCAAAUACCUUGUAUAUUACUGCCAGAAAGCACCGGCAGACUGCCUUUAGUAGAGGUUACCUGACUACCAGGACAAUAUUCAUGCAAGUGUCCUGCUCAGAAGUAAGAUGGAUACUUGGUAAACCUUUUAAAUAUAUUUAACCACUAAGGAAAUAACCAAUUUUCCUGCCCAUUCCCUCAGCCUCAUUCUAACAUGGGAUUCUCUUGCCAGCUAAAAUUCCAGUGUAUCACUCUUCCAGAAGAAAUACUGUGCAUCGUUUCUCCCUUCCCACACCCAUUGUCUUCCUCAAUUGGGAAGACAGCUUAAACAAUUUUUUCUCCCUAUGUUACAUUUCAGCUUUCUAGUUGAAGCAAAAUGAAGCAAAGUCACAAUACUGAAUUUGACAUCGUGUGUUGCCAUAGUGACGGCCACACUGCUUCCAGCGAUGCAGAGCGAGGGGUACCUGUUGCUUAGCAGGGGCUGUCAGCUUCCACAUGCUACACAGCAUCUGGAGUAACAAGGCUGUAGAGCAAAGCAGGCAGAAAGAGGCAAUGUAGGAAACCCAGCAGCCUGUUGAAGAGAGCUGCAGAGUGCAGUUUUAGCAGAGAAACG